UUUACUGCCCUGAGUUCUGUUAAUAUAUAAGCACUAUAUAUACAGCUGCAGAACACUGGACAUGGCAUGCAGACUUGGUGACAAAGUUACACUGGGAGAAGCCUGCAUGACUAAAUUGCAUAAUGAUACCAUUUGCAAUAAUAUCAUUUGUCUCUUUUCCUUAGGAAAAAAUGUAUUGGCCAUUUUUUUUAUCCUUUUCUUUAAAUAUUCUUCAUGAGCUAAUUUUUUUUCGGGGGGGGGUUUGACUUGUUGAGAACCCCUCACCUCCUCUAUAUGUAGCUGUAAAAGGGCUCAUGUGUUUCCUGUGGCUUAUUAAGGUCAAGACACUGUUAGGUAUAGCCUUGCUAUUGAAUUUUUUUUUUUUUAAUUUCCCUGCCCCCUUUCUGAAGUGCUCCUAUAGCUUGGCAUCCUCAAGCAGUCAGGCUAAUGAGGUACUUUUGGAGAUUACUUUUUUGUAAGAAGCCCUUCUCCCAGCUUUGUUGGUUUUCAUCGUCUCAGUCACAUCAGGAUAGGAAUCAGUGCCAUAGUGGGAUCAGCUUCUGCCAGGUCUCCAUAGAGCAUGAAAGCAACACAUGAGGCUUCCUCUUGUUUCCGUGUUUCUUCCGAUCUGUCCUUACACUGAGGGAGUAGUAGUGAUUAGAGUUCAACAAAAAUUUUUAAGAGUGUUUAAAGGUGGAGUUUCCAUUGUGGCUCAGGGGUUAAUGAAUCUAUCGGCCAUGAGGACACAGGUUCAAUCCCUGGUUUUGCUCAGUGGGUUAAGGAUCCAGCAUUGCUGUGAGUUGUGGUGUAGGUCACAGACAGGGCUUGGAUCUCUCGUUGCUGUGGCAACGCAGAUCCUGAGUUGCUGUGGCUGGGGCGUAGGCCAGCAGCUAUAGCUCCUAUUCAACCCUAGCCUAGGAACCACCAUAUGCCGAGGGUGUGGCCCUAAACAAACAAACAAAAAAGCCAAAAAGAGUGUUUCAACAUUAGGAGGUCCUGUCAUGGCUCGGUGGUAACAAACUCAACUAGUAUUCAUGAAGACGCAAGUUCAACCCCUGGCCUUGUUCAGUGGGUGUAGGACCCGGUGGUGCUGUGGCUGUGGUACAGGCCAGCAGCUGCAGCUCUGAUUCAUCCCCUAGCUUGGCAACUUCCAUAGGCUGUAGGUGCAGCCCUAAAAAAACAAACAAAAAAUAAUGUUGAAAAGUUAAAUUGUAAGUAAACCUUUUUCCAUAUAAUUUAUUUAAGAUCUAUCAUUUCUUGUAGAUCCUUCAAAAGUAAACAGCAUAUAACUUGUUUCCAGAGGCUGAAGAUAAUUAUAGCGGAAAGUACAAGAGUGAACUUGAAUGGACGCAUGCCAAUUUUUGUUGAGGUCUUUCUUAGAAUCAGCCACCAAUAUGCGACCAAUAAAAUAUACCAUAAAUAGCA
rnacentral:lncRNA from 1 species